rnacentral:lncRNA from 1 species
UUUUUUUUUUUUUUUAAUUUGUCCCUGCACUCAAGGAAAUCAAAUGGGAGGGCUGCACAAGGAGAAGGCUGAGCCUCAUAUGUGCUUGUCACCAGUCGUCUGCAGUGAGACAAAAAUCAUUAUGAGUUGUCAUCAUUAGGCCUGGGUAUGGGCUGGCUGUCCUCCAGCCACAGAUUUUUUGGCUAGUCUUAGAGUUUUUGAGAGCUGGAGAGCAUCUAAGCUCUUCUCACUAGGAGCAAGCAUGCCUACCUUAUAAAUAUUCCUUAGUUAGCACCUUUAUGCCUUACAAUUUUAUGGGUAAAAUGUGUACUUUUGUCAUGCAUGGGCUUAUUUUUUUAAAGCUCCAGCUCCUGGAUCCUUAUCCCUAGUUCUCUUUCUCUAUCCUCAUUCUCCUACACUUUUCUCCCCCUUUUUCCUCUUCCCCUUUCCCAGCCCCUUUCCCCUGCUCUGACUGCUGCUGGGACUCUUGUGUCUGGGAGUGAUCCUUCCCCUGGUUGGGCUUGUUUUGCUUCUGGAUACAGAAAUAUUGUUUGGACCACUUUACAUCUCAAUGCACCUUGCCUGCCAUGGGCAGGAAGGGAGGGGUAGAAGCCCCAGGCACUCCAGUCUGAGAAACAGGAAUAAUAAUGGGUGCACAGAGCUGCUUCCCAAAGUUCCAAUUUGAACUUUGUGGGCAGACUUGGAAAAAACAGACUUCUCAUUUCUCCGUAUUUUAGGUAUAGGUAGGAUGGAACCAAAGGAGAAGCAGCAUGAGGAUUGCAUAGCUUUCAUGCUGCUGGGCAAAAAGUGAAUGGGUGAAUGGGUGUCCAUCAGUGAUGACUUGUUGCAUGUCAACAAGAUGGGAAUUUCUCAGCCAGCUUUGUUGACUUAACAGAGAGCUGGUGAAACCCCUGCAGGCACUUAUUGCCACUCAAUUGCAGAAACAAGCACAGUCAGUUAGGAAGAGGAGUUUAACUGAGCUGAAAAGAGACCUUGACCUGCAAACAACCCAACCCAGAUAGUAUUUUGCAUUCUGUGAGUAGCAUCUGGGAAGAUGGUGGGUUUGCAAACAAGUGUUUCAUCACCCUGCUUGUGAGCAUGGGCAUUGCAGAUGUCCUUGUCUGAGCCUGAAAAGCUCUCUGUGGGAAAUGGGCACUUUGAGUUGUGAAUCAGUCAUUGCUGACUUAGUAAAAGAAACAUUGUGCCCCUGGAAGAGCCGGUGAAGAGCCCAGUGCCCAUACAAGAGGUGGCUGUCUCACGUGGAAACCAGCCCAGCUGACAUCUGGUUUUGCCCUGGAUAUAGAGCAUUUUCCUCUUAACUUUUAUAUACAAGUCAGAGCAGUUUAGGCAUAGAAGCCUGAAUCUUGGCAUGAAGGUUUUCACUUAACACAAUCCAGUUAAAACACUUGGCUUUGGUGUUCACUCUGGAUGUGACAAAAGAUGUGUUCAUACCUGCAAAGGCCUCUGCUGAAGGUUUCUCUGCUUUGGAUGCACUCAUCUCACACCACUCCCAACUUUUGCACAUGUGAAACUCAGGCCUGCCUUCAUAAAAGAAGGCAGAUACUCUGUGAAUUAAUUGGCUUUGGGGAUGUUCUUGAGAGAUGCUCAGUGGUGUUGUGUGUUGAAUUUUCCUGGCGCAGCCCUCUCCUACUCUGAGCUCAUCCCCUCCGUUGCCAAACCUGAAUGAGAAGCACCUCUGGAAGAGCCUCUAGAGGCCCAUCUCCUUGCAGCUGCCUUCUCCCAAGGGUUUCUCAAAGUGUGCAGGUAGGUGAGGCUGCCAAGGGCCUUUGCAGCUAACAGCAUUUUUUUUUUUUUUUUGUAAAAUUAGGUGUCUGGGGUCACACAGUAUUUAUAAAAAGCCAGAGUGCUUGGAAUAGAUAAAUUCUGGAGAAUCAUUCCUUGCAUGGCUACUGGUUUGUAGAGCAAUUGCUGACCUUGGGGAGAGAAGAGCUUUGUGAUUUAUCAAUUUUUCUUGAGCUCUGUGGCCUUUUUCAAACUAACACCAUGUUCUUGCUGCUGCUUUUUCUUGGCACAGAGAGCCUGAAAGACCUUUUGAGAGCAAAGACACGUUUCAGCCAUACUCAUUUGAGCACACAGAGGUCUCAGCUUGUUCUCCAGACACGUUCUGGCUCAUACCCUGGUCUUAACCAGGCUCUGAGGAUGUGCAUACACAUGAAGGAUUGUGAUCAGGUGUUGGGUCACUUCGGUAAUACUAUCCAGGGGCAAGCUGGGUGGAAAUUCCAGAGGGAUCACCUCCUGUACACAUUAAAUGCUGAAGGCCUGGGCACAGACCAGUGCUUGUCAGAGGUGUUCACUUUCCAGGGGGCUGCCAACUCAGCCUGGAGUCAUGGAGGAAGGGCCACACUGUGGAAGAGUCGAAGGCUUCUGGUCCUGGGCAGAAGUGAGAAAAGCUUCUCAGAGGAGUGAGGUUUGUGCCCAGGGCUGUGCUGGGAACUGAGUGAUCCUAGCCCUGGCUAUAAACACAGACCCUCCAUCACUGGAGACUGAAGCCCCUGUGUGCUACCAUGGUCAGAAGGGACUUCAUCCAGAGGAGUUUUCUGGUUUUUGCCCUCUCCCUGAAGCCUCCCUUCACCCUUUUGUGUUUUCAUUUUGAAAUGCUGCCCUUCCUCCAGGCUCUAUCUUGCAGUGAGCUGCAAACUCUUCUGGAAGCCCGCACCAGAGAGUGUCCCUUUGAAGUGGAAGGGAUCACUAAAAUGCCUUGUUUCUCUUCAAGGCCAGUGUUUCUAUCAA